GCAUGGCUGAAUUCUGUUUUACUUUUUCUGUAGUAAAUGCAGUCAGACACCAUGCCAGAUUACCAUUCUUUCUCAUGUAGCUACAGUGGUAUCAUACUGCAUCUUAUCACUGAUAUGAGGGGGAGCACAC